rnacentral:rRNA from 1 species
CUAUACAUGCAAGUCGAGCGGAGUUGUUUUGAAAGCUUGCUUUCAAAACAACUUAGCGGCGGACGGGUGAGUAACACGUAGGUAACCUGCCUGUAAGACUGGGAUAACUACCGGAAACGGUAGCUAAUACCGGAUAAUUUGUUUCUUCUCAUGAAGAGACACUGAAAGGCGGAGUAAUCUGCCACUUAUAGAUGGGCCUGCGGCGCAUUAGCUAGUUGGUGAGGUAACGGCUCACCAAGGCGACGAUGCGUAGCCGACCUGAGAGGGUGAACGGCCACACUGGGACUGAGACACGGCCCAGACUCCUACGGGAGGCAGCAGUAGGGAAUCUUCCGCAAUGGACGAAAGUCUGACGGAGCAAUGCCGCGUGAGUGAUGAAGGUUUUCGGAUCGUAAAGCUCUGUUGCCAGGGAAGAACGCUUGGGAGAGUAACUGCUCUCAAGGUGACGGUACCUGAGAAGAAAGCCCCGGCUAACUACGUGCCAGCAGCCGCGGUAAUACGUAGGGGGCAAGCGUUGUCCGGAAUUAUUGGGCGUAAAGCGCGCGCAGGCGGUCAUUUAAGUCUGGUGUUUAAUCCCGGGGCUCAACCCCGGGUCGCACUGGAAACUGGAUGACUUGAGUACAGAAGAGGAGAGUGGAAUUCCACGUGUAGCGGUGAAAUGCGUAGAUAUGUGGAGGAACACCAGUGGCGAAGGCGACUCUCUGGGCUGUAACUGACGCUGAGGCGCGAAAGCGUGGGAGCAAACAGGAUUAGAUACCCUGGUAGUCCACGCCGUAAACGAUGAGUGCUAGGUGUUAGGGGUUUCGAUACCCUUGGUGCCGAAGUUAACACAUUAAGCACUCCGCCUGGGGAGUACGGUCGCAAGACUGAAACUCAAAGGAAUUGACGGGGACCCGCACAAGCAGUGGAGUAUGUGGUUUAAUUCGAAGCAACGCGAAGAACCUUACCAGGUCUUGACAUCCCUCUGAAUCCACUA